rnacentral:misc_RNA from 1 species
UCCGAGUUGACCCCGGCAGUCUCCUAUGAGUCCCCACCAUUACGUGCUGGCAACAUAGAACGAGGGUUGCGCUCGUUGCGGGACUUAACCCAACAUCUCACGACACGAGCUGACGACAGCCAUGCAGCACCUGUGUACGCUCCCUUGCGGGUCCCUCGGGUUUCCCCUCGGUACCACGUGCAUGUCAAGCCCGGGUAAGGUUCUUCGCGUUGCAUCGAAUUAAACCACACGCUCCGCUGCUUGUGCGGGCCCCCGUCAAUUCCUUUGAGUUUCAGUCUUGCGACCGUACUCCCCAGGCGGAGUGCUUAAUGUGUUGACGUCGGCACAGCAGGGGUCGAUACCCGCUACACCAAGCACUCAUCGUUUACGGCGUGGACUAC